AUCCAAUAUUCCAAAAAAAAAAAACAGUCACGGUGUCGCAUACGUAAAAUGCUAGAUACGCCACUGGGAGCGCCGGCGCGAGGCGGCAUGACGCGGCGGUGAGCACGGAGGCCGCCAUGGCCGCGGCGGCCUUCCUCUGCGCCUGGGCAGCGCCGGCGAUGCUUCCUCCCACGUGCGGGCUGCCCCGCCGCCUCCUCGCCUCCCACACGGCGGCGGCCUCGGCAGCCUCAUCUUCCGGGGAAGGUGUGGUGAUUCCUUUCUGCUCCCUGGCCCCCGAGACCCUAAUCCUCUGCUGCGGCACGCGUUUGGCGCAGGCGUUUUUUUGCAGGUGAUGGAGGAGUACAGUUCCUCCUCAUCCUCGGCGGCGGCCUCCUCUAUUUCCGUGGACCCAUCCUCCCUGUGGAGCCAUGGGGCGCGCUCAAGAUCACCGCCUGCCAUUCCCCUGCCGCGGCGGUCGAUGACAGCCGGUAUUCUCCUCCACCGUUCCCCUCUUCUCCUGAUCUCCUCGACCGCGGCGGCCAGCACGCCAGAGGCCCCGUUCCUAUAGGCCAUGUUUUCAAGAUGGCUGGACGGGUCUGGACGCCUGGGGACCGUCCAGGACGUCCAGGACGAUUAAUCGUCGUCCAGGACGAUUAAUCGACCCUGGACGAGUCCCCUGGUCGUCCUGGUCGUCCCCUAUAUGGGGAACUUAUAUAUACCAUAUAUACAAUAUAUAUAUAUAUAUACUAUAGUUAUAACAAUACAUACAUUACACCAUAUAUAUACACACACACACACUUAUAUACUACAUCUUCUAGGCUAUAGAUAGGUCAGUUGGCCACUUACCUGGUUGCUGCAGAGCCCUUUCUUGUCUUGCUGGCUGCUGCUGCCAAACUGAAAAUAUAGAAAAAUAAAGCACAUUAACAAGGCAAUCAGGUAAAAGACAAUCAAGUGAUCAAGUGAUCAACAAAGCAAAUUAACACAGCAAAGCACAUAAUUUAAACCAGUCCAGAUCCAGAACUGCAUAGUGCAUGGUGGUUCACAGUGCCACGCUGCACUGCCAUAGUGCAUACAACAUACAUCAAGUCCAGUACAUGAAUAGAUAAAAGUCCCAUAGAUAAAAUAGCCAAUGAUCUAAAGAACUACUCAAGUAGUUCAACAUCUACACAAAAGCCUCCUCCAUCUUCAUCUGUAGCACUUGCACGUCCAUGGUUGUCUUCAUCCUCCUCCAUUGCCACAGGAUCAGAUGCAUCUUGAUCUUCUUCGGCUUCAUUUCUUGCAUCAGCAUCAUGAUCACUAUCAUCUUCACCUUCAGAUAUAUCUGGUGCUGCAGAAGUCCCCCUACGACGCUUCUUGUUCCUAACAUAGGUCUUCUUGACAGCCGCUACAGCACGGGUAGCAGCAACCCUAGGCAAGUUACGACCCCUUAGGUUUUCAGAUGCACCAAUAGCUUCAUCCACAACAGCCCAAGGCACCCCAUCCCCACAAUUCUCAUCCACCCAUUCAUUGUCCCACUGAAAUUCUUCUAGCAAGAGAGGGUUGCUCCUCCUUCCUUUGCAUCCAAGUUCUUGAAUUUUUUGAAACCUAUUUGACAUCUUUUUGUUGUAACUGACAUAAACCAAAUCAUUUAACCUCUUGUGCUCUAAUCUAUUCCUCUUUUUGGUGUGGAACUGCAGAAAAGGAAAAAUAAUAUGAGAACAUCGUUGGUCUACACUCAAAAAUUUGCAACAACACUAAAACUACAAUGAUACUUACAGCAGAGAAUUCACUCCAGUUACGCUCACAACCUGAAGCUGAGCAACAAAGACUGAUAAUUUUCUUUGCUAAACAUUGUAGUUCAAAUGUAUCUGCACCAUAUGCACCCCACCAACGGACUGAAACACAAUUAGACUAGGAUCAGCUCAUAGCAAAACAAAAUCAGCACAACUAAAGGAAAGAAAAAUGUUCUAAACUUACUAGGGUUCUUUUUGUCUCUGUCCCUUAUAGCUAAAGGCAUUGAGAAGCUUUCACCAGCGGAUAGUUCAUAGUCAUCAGCUUGCUGCGAAAUCUUGCUUGACACCUCGUCAUUGGGCUCCAUUUUCCAUAAAACUUGAUUGAACAUGCCUCUUAACCUUGAAGCUUGUCUCUUGUCUUUCUCCCUUAUGGCAAAGAACUUGCUUGGAUUCAAGAAGAGGGCUGCCCCAUAUAGCUUUUGCUCCAUCUGGGUGUCCCAUCUUGUAUUAUAUAAAGCCAGCACCUCAUCACGUAAAUCAGUGUUAUGUUUUAGAGAUUCUUUGAUGGUGCUUUUUGCAACAUCCAUGGCUGCAGUGAUCUCAGGAGCUGCUGGUGUCUCAUCCCCAUCUGCAAUCCGUAGAGCAAUGAGAAGUGGUUGUGAAGCUUUCAAGCAAUCUUCCAUUUUCGUCCAAAAUGUUGCGGACAGGAUAAUAUUCUCAACUCGUUUUCCUUCAGCAGACCUAGACAAGCUGUUAUUGUGCCAUUCCUCGCUGACAACUAAAUUUCUCAAGCCAUUCUUAUGUUUAUACAUACUUGCCAAAGUGAGAUAAGAAGUGGCAAAUCGAGUCACAGCUGGCCUCACAAGAUCCCCACCUAUUUUCUGUCUCAUUAGAUCAAGUAAUCUCCCAUGCUUGUAUAGAAAUCUGCUCACCUUCUUUGCUGAAUUGAUGGUAAUGUUGAACUGCUUUAUCUCUCCAAUGUCUUGCAGCAACAAAUUGAGGCAAUGAGCAUCACAAGGUGUCCAAAACAAGUGUGGGAUCCUCUCCAUUAGAAUCCUUCCCGCUGCCUUGAAAUUUGACCCAUUGUCUGUGACAAGCUGCACCACAUAUUCCCUGCCGAUGUUGUCAAUUUGCUUCUCCAACAAAUCUGCUAGCAAAUCCAUACUAGCUACUUCACUUGAUGCAUCCACUGAACCUAGGAAGAACGUCCCUGCUGGACUAUUUGCAAGAAAAUUUAUUAUAUGACGAUGGCUAGUAUCUGUCCAGCCAUCAGACAUGAGAGUGCAACCAUACUCUUUCCAAGCUUCUUCAUGCUUCUUCCUCAGUUCUGUUGUCCUUUUGACAGCCUUUUCUAACAAUGGCUGCCUAAUUUCAUGGUAGGAUGGUGAGCGAUACCCAGGUCCAUACUGUCCAAUAGACUCAAGCAUAAUCUCCCAACUUCUGGAGUUAAUGACAUUGAAUGGUAUACGAUUUUCAUAAAAGAAAUCAGCUACAUGGUCAUCAACAACUUGUUUGUUCUCUUUCUUUGUGCAUUGCUCUAUAGUAGACUGGGAAGUCUUGAAUUUGUGCCUUUCUGAAACUACCUGUUCUGGUGUCUUCCGAAGCAUGGUAACCACUGACUUGGUGUUCUUUUGAUUUGCUGGUUUUGAUGAACCAGCACCAGCAGCAGCCACAUAGGCAGCGAUGGAAGCUUGAGCCAUUUUCUUCUUUGCUGCAGCUUUCUUUUGCUUGGUCUUUGUACCAGAACUAGGCAUUUUUUCUGGUUCAACUUCUUCAACUUCAUCACCUUCACCCUCUUCAGAAUCUUGUUGAACUUCAAGAACUACCAGAACUCUAGACCUUGUAUUCUUCUUGAUAUAAGCAUCCAUCUGUCGCCUAACAAUCUCAGGGCAACUUGGGCAUCCAAUUGCAUCACCAUAACCUCCAGCAAGGUGUUGUUUGAACCUACUGAUUCCUGAAGGAGUUAUCGUCUUACAAAAAAUGCACUGCGCAGAGUCCUUCUUUGCAAUAUCUGGCCACCAUCCAAACUGCCAUCCAGGGUCUCGAGACUUUGCCUUCCUCUUGGGAUCUUUUGCUUCAGCAGCCAUUUCUGGAGGUAGUUUUGCUAAGGCCUUCUCAACAAGAGAUGCAAUGUCUGGAGCAGUUGAUGCUGCUGAACCAGCAGCAGUUGAUGCAACUGAGGAACCAACUUCUCCUUCUCCUUGAACUUCCUCAGGUAGGUACACUUCCACUGCACGCUGCCUCUGUCGAACUAGAUCUACAGAGAGAAAAAGAUCUUGAAGCUUCAAACACUGGAAAAGCACAAAUCUUGAACGAGGACUGAUGACUGAGACUGACCUGAGGAGGAGGAGCUCAUCUUGUCGAUCUAGAUCUGCAGGCCUGCUUGCCUGCAGCAGCAGCAGCCGCAAGGAAGAGAGGGAGGCAGCUGGACGGGAGGGAGGAGGAGGAGGAGCUGGGAACCGGAAGGGAGCUCUGGAGGAGAGGGAGCUGCCGAACUGUGUGAGUGAGGAGAGAGAGAGGCUGAGGGAGUGAGGAGUAUAUCAAUAAGAGAAACCCUAAUGGGCUUGGGCCAAAACUUACAGCUUGCUUGGCCCAACUCCCUCAGCAGAUGCAGCCCAUUCUUAUUUCCUCUGCCUGGACGCUCAAACACCCUGGACGUCCGAUUAAUCGCGAUUGGACGACGAUUAAUCGGACGUCCAGAUUCCUGGACGGUCUGGCCUGGACGGAGGCCCUGGACGAUACUGCUGGACCGUCCAGGACGAUUAAUCGCGAUUAAUCGCGAUUAAUCGGACGUCUUGAAAACAGGGCCUAUAGGUCCUGCUUGGUUUCGAUCUUUCUACAAUGCAGUGCGCAAGAGUUUUAGUCAGAACUUGCUGUUCGCUUGGUGAUUGGAUCUGGGAAAGAACUUGCCGUUCGUUAGCGCUGGUAGUUGGCUGAUUAGUUCUUUGUCUCGGUCAUUUUGGAGUUGAUCUUAUCUGGAUUUCGGUUACUGCAUUUGAGCAUUUGGGAAACAGUAACGUAUUCAGAUUGCAUUGCAGGGGGGACGGGCGUAUUGCAAUAAUCAGCUAGCCUGUCCGAGGCUCCUCAAUUCCCAAUCAAUACCCAACAAUUUGGUUGGGAAACGGAGCUGGCUAAUUUCAGAAUAUUCACUUACAACAACUAAUGCCAGUUUGGUGAUUCAUCUUGCCUUGCGGCCUUCUGUCCAUUGAACUUCAUUUCAAGUGAAUGAAAGAAAAUCAUUGCUCACAUUUGAACUUAUUAUUCUGUGUUUUCUAGCCUUUGGACACUACAAUAUGGCUAAUUGUUGCCUAUGCCUGCUGAAGACAUAAAUGUUAUGCAUAAUUGAACAUGGGCAAUAACUAUCUUUUCUUGGUAUUUAUGCACUCGGGACCACUAUCUUAUACACUUGCAUUGAAAUCCACCAUACUCCAUUUAUCUUCAUUUUCUCUGUUCAGAAUCUACCUUCUUUGGAACUUAAGGUAUUUGAUGCUGAGUUGCUGACGCAGAACACAAUGGCAAAGAGUAUACUAAGUGCAAUAUGCAGAACUGUGACCAGGACGAAGUAGUCAUCUUGGAGGCCUAAAUAUUCCUCCAAGAAUACCCUCACUGGCUGCUCUGGUUGGCCUGGUACACGGAUCAGCUCUCUGCGGUCUCCAAGCUGUGAGAACACGAGUCCAUACACAGUCCAUGCCGCUGGAUCAGCCCAGUACAUCCAUCUCCACCAAGCCGGCAUCAUCUAGAGGAAUUCAUUCAGAGCAACAGCAUUGAGCGAAUAGGUGAAUGGGGAGGCCCAACAACCCCAGCGAAGCCAUGGUUGGAGGUUAUCUGGAUGCCAUUUUUUUUAAUAAGCAGGUGUUAGUUGUGUUCAUGCCUCAAAAUUGUCAGAACCUGACUACUUUCUAAUGCUCUGAGAAAUUUGAUGGCUGUCAUUCUACCUUUAGAUAUGAUGAAGCCUCCAAGUAUGAAAAUUGCAAUAAGAGCUUCAGUCCCUAGCAUGUUUGCCAUUACCUGUGUUCUUCCUAGGGAUGCUAGCAAACGAUAAAGACUCAUUGACAUUUGAUGCAUCACGAAGAGGACCUGUAGCUGCUGAAAAAAUCUACAAGGAUUAAAGCCUUAUUCAAUCAGCAUAUUCAGAAUUUUGUUUUUGUAUAUUACAGUGAGAUAUAUGGUUUCUAAAUUGUCAAUAUUACCUAACAGGCGAUGGGGCAUAGCCAAUGGCAAAGUAGGUCGAACAGGUCCAAAGGCCUGUCUCCAUCAGUGACAUUGGGAUGCUUAUAAGAAAAGUUGAGCAAAGGAUAGCCCAGCCUGGCAAUCUUAGCAGCUCUCUUUGCUUGUAGAAUUUUGGAAGCCUCUUUACAGUCAUUGUCAGUUCAGUCAUACCAUUGAAGUUUACGGCAGCAACGGCCAAAAAGAGAUCCCCCAUAUACUUGUUGCCAUCAAAUAUCGUAUCUUGGCUCAUUUCUGUUCUAAAGAAAAGCGUUGAGAGUAUAAAACCUAGAAAAGUGAUCUGUAUAGCCUUGAAUAUUUGAACUGGAGAGUUUCUCUUUACUAGGAGUACUUAUCUCAGAAAACAAGCUUUGAAAAUGUUCCAAUGUGAUAUGCUUUGUCUUUCAUCUGAUUGACAUAAUAUCCUGUCUUGUUUCAUAUUAUGUUUAUUGCAUUUCUCAUCUUCCACAAGUUGAGGGAGAUUGUAGGUCCUGAAGCAUUUCACAAACCUUUCGACGGCAUGGUACUGAUACUAUCUUUCAUCACCUGUCCAAUACUGCUGCUGGUCCAUCCUUGAGGUUACCUACCCAAUGCAAAGAGUUGAAUUUUUGUUGUACUAAUUGGGAAAAAAAUAUAUUUUGUUAUUUAUGUAUUACACUUUUGGAAAAUAGAUUAUCUUAAAUUCUUUCACUUUUAAUUAUCUGCUCACAUGAGAGGAUCGUGAAGGGUGCAUCUCUUCUAGGUAUCCUAACCAUGUGAAAUGAUAUAUCAUUAGGGAUGGUAAAGGGCCUUGAAAUUUAACUUCGAUAGUCUAAGGGCUGGGCUCUAAUCUUAUACAUUUUUAAGCUAAAAAUGUAUAAGGGUCAAGUUGGAUUGUGAAGAGACCACUAGGGCCAUGAUCUGUUACCACCAAUCAUACUACUUAACAACCAAGUAGGAUAUGAUUUUAGAUCUCUUCAACUCAGUAUGUGCCUAUGCCUAUUGCUGCAUGAGAUAUCUUGGUGUUUCUUCUAUUUAUAAUUACUUGUGAAUUUGUGAUGGAUGGCAGCAAAGGACUACAUGAUAUUUAUUGGUUGUAGUAUGCCAACAUUCUUAGUAUGUUUAAUUUCUCACAAUAUUUAAUACUAGGGCUGGGAUGAGUCGGUUAAGAGAGACCUUAAGGAUUGGAAUAUCUCUAAAGAGAUAGCUUUGGAUAGGAGUGCUUGGAGACUAGCUAUCAAUGUGCCUGAACCUUGAACUUAUUUCUUUCGGGUUUCAUCUCUAGCCUACCCCAACUUGCUUGGGAAAAAAGGCUAUGUUGUUGUUGUAUUUAAUACUAGGGCUCUAUAAAAUUGUCACAAUAUUGAAUAGUAAAUAUUUAAUCCUUUCUGUCUUGAUAUUAAGGCUCUAUAAAAUUCUCACAAUAUUGAAUAUUGUAGUGACUUGUAUAGUUGUAUUCACGUUUUGCCUGUUUUGGUUGUUUUUCCCUUUUCCCUUUCAGUCACUUUUUGUUUCUCUUGAUCCCUGGUAACUGCAUACUAGAUUAUUUCAACUAUACCAAACUGAACAACUAAUGGUAGUAUUUAGUGCAAAUGUGCAUCAUUAACUUCCUCCACCAAAAAGAAAAACUUAAAAAGUAAAAAAAAAGACAUAUGCAUGAUAUCUGGGCUAUAACUUGGCCAAUUAAUUUGAUUUUUUUUGUAAAUGGUGUUUCAUCGUAAAUUCAUCCUCGAUUUGAUUUUCUUUUGUCAGGCAAUGGUAUGUGUUUUUUGAAGAUCUCUAUGUGUCAGGAAAUGAUGGAAGGACAUUUCUGUAAGAAACUAAGAAUAAUGUAAAACCAACAUUGUUUGCAUAGAAAAAUGCUUGACAUACAGUAAAUGCUAUUCACCAUUAAACCCAAUAUUGGAUAUGUUUUGGAUUGAAAUCAAACAAGUUGGUAAACAUGUUAUAUCUGCAGUUCUUUUCUCCCUGAAAAUAAUGUAUGUUACCAGUGCUUACCAAUUGUUGUUCUUUUUUUUCUGUCCCCCAGAAAUUCCUCUGUGCAGCUCAUCUCCCACUAUAGUGUCAGCACAGUCAGACAAUCCAAGAAUCUGUAUUCAGUAAACUGGACUGGAGUUGUUACAAUUGGUUCUACCUUCAAAGAAGAAUCUAGUUUUCCUGCCAAUGCUCUUAAGAGGGUCGUCUUUCCUGAUCCGGGUGCUCCGAGAACAAGCGUCAUUCUGAACACAAGAACAACUUAUUGAAACAUUUCAGUCAAAUUGUUCCAGACCGUGAAUUGCAUGUUCAAACUUGGAGCUCAAGACGGACCACAAGGAUGCUAUGUUGGAAGGGUUGUGUUGCUUUGCUCAAUGAUGCCUGUGGUGAAGCCGAAGUUGAAGACUUGACGCCCUAGAUACCGCUUUGUAAGAUUUUUAGUUGUUGUUUAACCCAAGGAGCUUGUAUAAAUUGUGUCCCGAGUUCUUUCAGAUGUAAAUAUUCAGUAUUGUACUCUGUUAUUGUUGUAUUAAAAUAAUAUUAGGCUAAAAUGGGUUAUGUACAUGGUAGUUGCUGAUUCUGGGAGUAUCACAAAGGUACCAGGAGUCAAAUUCUUAGAAAU